AGAGUUUGAUCCUGGCUCAGGAUGAACGCUGGCGGCGUGCUUAACACAUGCAAGUCGAACGGAGCGACUUCUCUUCGGAGGAAUCGCUUAGUGGCGGACGGGUGAGUAACGCGUGAGUAAUCUGCCUUGGACAGUGGAAUAACACAGGGAAACCUAUGCUAAUACCGCAUGAAGCGCUUGAGUGGCAUCACUCUGGGCGCCAAAGGAGCAAUCCGGUCUGAGAUGAACUCGCGUCCGAUUAGCUAGUUGGUGGGGUAAAGGCCCACCAAGGCGACGAUCGGUAGCCGGACUGAGAGGUUGACCGGCCACAUUGGGACUGAGACACGGCCCAGACUCCUACGGGAGGCUGCAGUCGAGGAUCAUUCGCAAUGCGCGAAAGCGUGACGAUGCGACGCUGCGUGGAGGACGACGGCCUUCGGGUUGUAAACUCCUGUCAUGGGGGAAAAAUGUAUUGGAUGUUAACAGCAUCUGGUAUUUGAUGGUACCUCAAGAGGAAGCCACGGCUAACUCUGUGCCAGCAGCCGCGGUAAUACAAAGGUGGCGAGCGGUGUUCGGAUUUUACUGGGCGUAAAGGCGCGUAGGCGGCAUUGUGUGUCGUCUGUGUUGUCCCCGGGCUCCUCCCGGGGUGUGCCUGCGCUUCUGCCGUGCUUGUGCUGUGGCGGGGUGGGCGGUCUUCUUGGUGUGGCGGUGGGUUGCGUUGNUNUCUUGUGGNCCCCCCGCGGCGUGGGCGGCUCUCUUGAAUCUUGUUGACGCUCAGGCGCGAAAGCCGGGGGAGCAAACAGGAUUAGAUACCCUGGUAGUCCCGGCCCUAAACGGUGCACACUUGGCGUGGGGGGCUUCACCCCCUCCGUGCCGGAGCUAACGUGUUAAGUGUGCCGCCUGGGGAGUACGGCCGCAAGGCUAAAACUCAAAGAAAUAGACGGGGGCCCGCACAAGCGGAGGAGCAUGUGGCUUAAUUCGAUGCAACACGAAGAACCUUACCCGGGUUUGACAUGUAACUGCACAUCCUGUGAAAGCAGGAUUCCUUCGAGGGUGUUACACAGGUGCUGCAUGGCUGUCGUCAGUUCGUGCCGUGAGGUGUUUGGUUAAGUCCAGCAACGAACGCAACCCCUGUGUCCAAUUGCCGGCGAGUAAUGUCGGGAACUUUGGACAGACUGCCUGUUUACGCAGGAGGAAGGUGGGGAGGACGUCAAGUCAGUAUGGCCCUUACAUCCGGGGCUGCACACGUGCUACAAUGGUCGGUACAAUGGGACGCUAAGCCGCGAGGUGGCGCAAAUCCCCAGAGCCGGCCCCAGUUCAGAUUGCGGUCUGCAAUUCGACCGCACGAAGUCGGAUUCGCUAGUAACGGCGUAUCAGCUACGACGCCGCGAAUAAGUUCCCGGGCCUUGUACUCACCGCCCGUCA
rnacentral:rRNA from 1 species